AUUCCAGCUCCAAUAGCGUAUAUUAUUACUGUUGUAGUUAAAAAGCUCGUAGUUGAAUAUCUGGCGUUGGGAAGCCCUGCCCGCCGCGAUUCGCGUGUGAGUUGUGGGGCGUCCCCGCCAUCCUGUGUGGGAGCCCGCCUACCCUUCAUUGGGCCGGGCGGUGCGAGCACACUCAGUUACUUUGAGAAAAUCUGCGCGUUCAAAGCAGGCACACGCUAUGAAAGCUUCAGCAUGGAAUAACAAGAUAGGAUCUGGGUCUCUAUUUUGUUGGUUUCUAGGAUCGAGGUGAUGAUUGAUAGGGACAGUUGGGGGUGCUUGUAUUUAACGGCCAGAGGUGAAAUUCUUGGAUUCGUUAAAGACAAACUACUGCGAAAGCAUUCACCAAGGAUGUCUUCAUCG
rnacentral:rRNA from 1 species